rnacentral:rRNA from 1 species
AUUGAACGCUGGCGGCAGGCCUAAUACAUGCAAGUCGAGCGGAGCGGCGGACGGGUGAGUACUGCCUAGGAAUCUACACGUGAGUGGGCGACACCGUCCGGAAGCGGGCGCCAUUAACGCAUACUAUCAGAUGAGCCUCGGGCGGAUUAGCUAGUUGGUGGGGUAAAGGCUUACCAAGGCGACGAUGCGUAACUGGUCUGAGAGGAUGAUCAUUCACACUGGAACUGAGACACGGUCCAGACUCCUACGGGAGGCAGCAGUGGGGAAUCUUGGGCAAUGGGCGAAAGCCUGAGCGAGCAAUGCCGCGUGGGGGAAGAAGGUCUUCGGAUUGUAAAGCUCUUUUGGUUGAGAAGCGGUACCGACAGAGUAAGCCACGGCUAACUUCGUGCCAGCAGCCGCGGUAAUUC